UACAGAGGGUGCGAGCGUUAAUCGGAUUUACUGGGCGUAAAGCGUGCGUAGGUGGUUUGAUAAGUCGGUUGUGAAAGCCCCGGGCUCAACCUGGGAAUUGCGGCCGAUACUGUCAGACUAGAAAACGGUAGAGGGAGGUGGAACUCCAGGUGUAGCGGUGAAAUGCGUAGAUUUCUGGAAGAACACCGAUUGCGAAGGCAGCCUCCUGGGCCUGUUUUGACACUGAGGCACGAAUGCGUGUGUAGCAAACAGG
rnacentral:rRNA from 1 species